rnacentral:ribozyme from 11 species
UGCAAUUACACAGACAGAUAGUGCGCAAGUCUGACCGACAACAGACAAAUCAAACCGACACAAGUGCAAAACAAUUCUUCGGUCAGUCGGGUCAUGCAUGUGUUUCUUGUUUUGUUUUGCUUUUUUCUCCAUUUUU